ACGUAGGUGGCAAGCGUUGUCCGGAUUUACUGGGCGUAAAGAGCGCGCAGGCGGCCGAGUAAGUCGAAUGUGAAAGCCCCCGGCUCAACUGGGGAAGGUCAUUCGAUACUGUUCGGCUUGAAGAUAGGAGAGGGAAGCGGAAUUUCAGGUGUAGUGGUGAAAUGCGUAGAUAUCUGAAGGAACAUCAGUGGCGAAAGCGACUUCCUGGACCAAUACUGACGCUCAUGUGCGAAAGCGUGGGGAGCAAACAGGA
rnacentral:rRNA from 1 species